rnacentral:rRNA from 1 species
UACGUAGGGUGCAAGCGUUAAUCGGAAUUACUGGGCGUAAAGCGUGCGCAGGCGGUUAUGUAAGACAGAUGUGAAAUGCCCGGGCUUAACCUGGGAACUGCAUUUGUGACUGCAUGGCUAGAGUUUGGCAGAGGGGGGUAGAAUUCCACGUGUAGCAGUGAAAUGCGUAGAUAUGUGGAGGAACACCGAUGGCGAAGGCAGCCCCCUGGGUCAAGAUUGACGCUCAUGCACGAAAGCGUGGGGAGC